rnacentral:rRNA from 1 species
AGCUCCAAUAGCGUAUAUUAAAGUUGUUGCGGUUAAAAAGCUCGUAGUUGGAGUUCUGCCAGGUGCCGCCUGUCCGCCCCAGUGGUGAGUACGUGGCGCGCAUUUGGCCCUUUCAAGGGGAGCGUAUUGCACUUAACUGUGUGGUGCGGGAUCCUUGACUUUUACUUUGAGGAAAUAAGAGUGUUCCAAGCAGGCUCUCGUCGUGCAUAGCUCAGCAUGGAAUAAUAGCAUUGGAUCUCGAUUCCAAACUGUUGGUUGUAGGAAACGAGAUAAUGAUGAAGAGGGAUAGUUGGGGGCAUUCGUAUUUAACUGUCAGAGGUGAAAUUCUUGGAUUUGUUAAAGACGAACUACUGCGAAAGCAUCUGCCAUGGAUGUUUUCA